ensembl:lncRNA novel transcript
UGAGGCCGAUCAAAAUUGAACCAGAGGUUCUGGACAUCAUUCAGGUCACUGUCCCAGAUGCCUUGCCAACCUCUGAGGAAAUGACAGACUCAAUGCCUGGGCACCUGCCAUCGGAGGAUUCUGGUUAUGGGAUGGAGACGCUGACAGGCCCAACUGCUUCGGGAUCGCCAAGCUCUGGAAGAUUCUGGAGGCCAGCAACAGCAUCCAGUUUGUCAUCAAGAGGUAAGGCCCGACCAGGUCCACGGGAGACAGCACCGGGCCUGCUCAGCACCCAGGGUCAGGAGCAGCACCAAAUUGCCA